ensembl:lncRNA
UUACUAUAGAAACACUAACAUAAUUGGACAAUCGGAUAAAUGUAAACCUGCGAUUCGCAGAUGGAACUUCUGUCCGAGCCGCCGUUCUAGAAAAUGAAUCGGCACCUUCAGAGCAAUCGGGAUGGGUCGAGAACGUUCAGAACGUUGUGAUUUUAAAAUAAGGAAUCUUUUUUUUUUAUUAAGUAAAUUGUUAGAAAUUGUGGUAAUUUCCUAAACUGUGAUCAAAGGUUAGGUGAACACAGAUCGUUUCAUUCAAGCUCACAGCUACGUUUAUUAUUAUUAUUAUGAUUAUUAUUAUUUACAUAAAUCCAGCUGGGCGCUGAGAGAAAAGCGAACGGGAAGAGACCGACGCAGCGGCUCGGCCUUGAGAGGUUCACUAAAGCAGUUUCGUGCUGUUCGAAAGCUUUAUUCAUAACGGCGGCUUCCCCCCCGAGCCUCUUUCUGUUAAAGAAGUCGACGUUAAGUCACGUCUCACCAGAGAAAUUCAUCACGCUCGCUCCCUUCUCUCUCUCUUUUUUUCUUCCCCAUCCCUCCCUGAGCGUUCGAUAUCCUUGAAUCUGCUAAAUCCAGAGUACACACCGCUCCUUAAUCGUGAUUUGUAACUCUCUGUGACUCGGCACCUCACUGCCUCCGACGCCACCGCUGCAGAUCGGAGAAAUGCUGCGUCGGCCAAAAGAAACGGAUUGGGAGCACUUGUAAAGACGGAUGUGUGAACAGAGUGGAAAUAGAUCACCGUGCGUCAGUGAUCUUUUUGAUAAGUAGAUGUUCUGGUAUGCAUCCAUCUCCCCGGCUGAUUCCCUACCGAGGUGUGAGUUUUAGCGUGAGCUGUGGGAUGCUGGGUACGGGGCUCGGUCAAGGCGAGAGUCGUCACGCUCGCGCGCCGCUGAACUGGGACAGGCCUUGCCGUUUUAGUUGAGGUGGAACAUGCUUCGUGAGCAAGUCGUUUUUAGUCGGGAAUGACGGAUUGCGAGACGUUUUGACGACCAUGUGACCCUUCCGCGAUGUGAUGGCGUAACGUGCUAAAAGAAGCGUUAUAUUCCUUCACCGUGCUGAUCUGAUUCAUUUCAUUCAUCCGUUUUCCUUCAUCCUGGUCAGGAUCGCGGUGGAUCCGGAGGAAUCGGAUUUUUACUCAAGAUUCCUCAAAUCUCUUACUUGCUUGGUUCCGUGAAUCGGGACUUACUCGAAAAUCUAGGAACAGUGGGCCUCAUUUAUCGUUUAGUGUUGAAGGCGUUUCAGUAGCUAAAUGUUUUUCCUCAAACUUAAACAGAAUUAAAAAUCCCCUCUAGAUUUUUCACGGUUCAGUGACGCUGAUUUUUCUUGUUCCUACGAUGUUCUCGCGUGCAUAUGCCGUAAAUGACUCGAUUGCAUUUAGUGACGCCCAUAAAAACUCCAUAAAAGGCACCGCUCACACACAGCUGAAAAUGACAGAAUGACGACUAAACGGUGAAAGACCGCCUCCUAAGUGGGAUUUGCGUUAAAUCUUCCAAUAAUGCAGCUCAGCCACUGCAGCGAGUCAAGUACCACACACGCAAUAGGUACGUUCGCACGUACCUAUAGCUCGCGGCGACCGGAGGACGUUCGUUUUCAGUGAGAACCGGUGACAUGAGCAACCAGGUGUGGGCGUGUCCAUAAGGUUAACUUGAUGCUAAUUCCGAGCCACUCGGUGCAGCGACUACCAAUGGGUGUGAAGACGGAGACGGCACGUGAUCCGUGAUCCACCGUGCCGGGCUGAAAUGUUCUCCGUGCACCCAGACGGUCCGGCGCUCGCGCUUGCGCCGCAGAGAGACGGCCGCAGUGGCAAAGAGCUCGCACCGCAUCUCCUUCGUCUCGUAGGAUGUGAUGCACGUAUACACUGGUGAAUUUUAUACACAAACGCUCUCCCUCCAGAAUGUUUUGUGUCAAAAGUGGAAUGCUGGAUGCUGUGCCACCCACGGAUGAACGUUACCGUGACGACCAGUAGUGACGUGCAGCGAUAAAAUCAUUGUCUGAGUGAGUGAGUGAGUGAAAGAGAGAGAGAGAGAAUGUACCUUAACACUUCCUCCUGUUUAUGGGGUGCCAUUACUUUUGCCUGAUUGGAACGGAUUCUCGCGAGUACCGCGUCUCUCGUGUAAGGUUCAGGUUAGAUCUUUUUUUGGGUCACACUGAAGUUCUCAAAGUCUUGCGUUCUUCUAAAUCCUAACUAGUUUAUCGAAAUGCUCAUGGGGUCAUAAAAUGGCCUCCUGUCGGUGCGUCUUCCUCCAAUAAGGUAGAGCUGACUGCGUAUAGAGGUUAUAGAGUGUGGGCCGGUUUGGAGAAGAGAACCGACCCUGGCUAGCUCGCACGUUGAGCUCCUGCCGCUCAGGAACAGGAGAUUAUCAGGAGAUGAUGAUGAUAGCAGUGGACCCGUUUAGUCUUGAAUUCAAUCUCAAGAUGCACCACAAGAUGGCAGCGUACGCUAGACUUAUGAAGGGGUUGUCGAACAUGGCCGCUUCUUCCCGAGCCGUCUCACCGAUGAGCUUUUCGAUCGGUUAUAUGUUAUACUUCUACCGAACGUCGAAAAUUCACCCGUCAGCACCACGCCCUGUGAAGACCUGCGCUGUUGUUGUGACACGUUGCUCCGUGCGACUGAAGGUCCUCUAGCGUCACCUCGUCGCUGCUUGAUGGAGGAUAUUUAUGGCUCGGUGUUAAUGACGGGCUCGGGCAAAGGCCACCGAGACUGGAUGGGACGAGGCCUACACGAGUGGAGUUCGGACCCGAGUUUCUGCCACAACAACCCCCUCCCCCAUUGUUAAACCAUAAAGGAGCCACCAUGUCCACUUCCUCCUCCUCCUGCUCGCUGACUCAAUGAUUUCUUUAUGGAUCUGGACUUGGUCAAAGUGUGUAUGCGUGCAAACGUCUUCAUAGUCUUCUAGGAGUGUGUGCAAGCAUUACACCCCACUCAUCCCAGUUUCACAGCACUGCAACCUGAUUUCAAAACCCACACACACACACACACAUAUAUAUAUAUAUAUAUAUA